AACAAAUGUUCUGAGAUAAGGUAUUUCCCCAUUACUGCUACCAGACCAUUACAAUUCAGAUUUUCUUAAAACAUAGGUAUCCUUGGGCAUGAACCAUAGGAUCUUUUCUGAAUCUUGCAAUUUUGAUGGCGUACCCUGCAACAGCAUGUUUGUUGUCUUGUAUUUUUUCUACUUCUGUUUAGAAGGCAACACAGCUAAGAAAUAGUUUCAGAGACGUGAAGCAUAUGAAAUGAAUUACCUGCCAUGUGUUUUCACCAUGUACCAGAUGUCCAGAUCUGCUUGAUGAAAAACAAAUGCCUUACUAAAUUCAUCACCCAUUUGAUAAAGGAAAUAUACCUCAACAUGUGGAGUAAUGCUGUUGAUUGCUGUGAAUUCCAUU